GAUGAACGCUGGCGGCAUGCCUAACACAUGCAAGUCGAUCGGUAAAGCUCUUCGGAGUACACGAGAGGCGGACGGCUGAGUAACGCGUAGGAACACACCCUGCAGUGAGGGAUAAGACACCGAAAGGUGUUCUAAUACCGCAUACGGUCUUCGGAUUAAAGCAUUUAUGCGCUGAAGGAGUGGCCUGCGUCAUAUUAGAUAGUUGGUGAGGUAAUGGCUCACCAAGUCGAUGAUGUGUAGCUGGUCUGAGAGGAUGAUCAGCCAGACUGGAACUGAGACACGGUCCAGACUCCUACGGGAGGCAGCAGUGAGGAAUAUUUCACAAUGAGCGAAAGCUUGAUGGAGCAAUGCCGCGUGCAGGAUGAAGGCCCUCGGGUUGUAAACUGCUUUUAUAAGAGAAGAUUAUGACGGUAACUUAUGAAUAAGAGACGGCUAACUACGUG
rnacentral:rRNA from 1 species